rnacentral:rRNA from 1 species
CGCUGGCGGCGUGCCUAACACAUGCAAGUGGAGCGACGAACCAGACUUCGGUCUGGGGCCAAGCCGCGAACGGGUGAGUAACACGUGGGUAACCUGCCCCGAUGAUCGGGACAACCCGGGGAAACCCGGGCUAAUACCGAAUGUGGUCCCGGCUCUUGAGAGCCGUGACGAAAGGAAGCUUCGGCCUCCGCAUCGGGAGGGGCCCGCGGCCCAUUAGCUAGUUGGUGAGGUAACGGCUUACCAAGGCUUCGAUGGGUAGCUGGUCUGAGAGGACGAUCAGCCACACUGGGACUGAGACACGGCCCAGACUCCUACGGGAGGCAGCAGUGGGGAAUCUUGCGCAAUGCGCGAAAGCGUGACGCAGCAACGCCGCGUGCGGGAAGACGGCCUUCGGGUUGUAAACCGCUUUCAGUUGGGACGAAGCUUCGCCGGUGAAUAGCCGGCUGGAGUGACGGUACCUUCACAAGAAGCCCCGGCUAACUACGUGCCAGCAGCCGCGGUAAUACGUAGGGGGCAAGCGUUGUCCGGAAUCAUUGGGCGUAAAGAGCGUGUAGACGGCUUCGUCAGUCCGUUGUGAAAGUCCAGGGCUCAACCCUGGAAUGCCGAUGGAUACUGCGGAGCUAGAGUACGGAA